rnacentral:rRNA from 1 species
UACGUAGGGGGCAAGCGUUGUCCGGAAUCAUUGGGCGUAAAGAGCGUGUAGGCGGUCCGGUAAGUCGGCUGUGAAAGUCCAGGGCUCAACCCUGGGAUGCCGGUCGAUACUGCCGUGACUAGAGGUCGGUAGGGGAGUGUGGAAUUCCUGGUGGAGCGGUGAAAUGCGCAGAUAUCAGGAGGAACACCCGUAGCGAAGGCGGCACUCUGGGCCGAUACUGACACUGAGGAGCGAAAGCGUGGGGAGCGAACAGG